AAUGAACGCUGGCGGCAGGCCUAACACAUGCAAGUCGAACGGAUCCUUCGGGAUUAGUGGCGGACGGGUGAGUAACGCGUGGGAACAUACCCUUUGGUACGGAAUAGCCUCGGGAAACUGGGAGCAAUACCGUAUGUGGUCGUGAGACGAAAGAUUUAUCGCCAAAGGAUUGGCCCGCGUUGGAUUAGGUAGUUGGUGGGGUAAUGGCCUACCAAGCCGACGAUCCAUAGCUGGUUUGAGAGGAUGAUCAGCCACACUGGGACUGAGACACGGCCCAGACUCCUACGGGAGGCAGCAGUGGGGAAUCUUAGACAAUGGGGGAAACCCUGAUCUAGCCAUGCCGCGUGAUCGAUGAAGGCCUUAGGGUUGUAAAGAUCUUUCAGGUGGGAAGAUAAUGACUGUACCACCAGAAGAAGCCCCGGCUAACUCCGUGCCAGCCGCCGCCGUAAGAC
rnacentral:rRNA from 1 species